rnacentral:rRNA from 1 species
UACGAGGGGGGCAAGCGUUGUUCGGAAUUAUUGGGCGUAAAGGGUGCGUAGGCGGUGCGGUAAGUCUGUUGUGAAAUCUCCGGGCUCAACUCGGAGUCUGCAUCAGAAACUGCCGUGCUGGAGUGUGGGAGAGGUGAGUGGAAUUCCCGGUGUAGCGGUGAAAUGCGUAGAGAUCGGGAGGAACACCUGCGGCGAAAGCGGCUCACUGGACCAUAACUGACGCUGAUGCAUGAAAGCUAGGGGAGCAAACAGG